ensembl:snRNA U1 U1 spliceosomal RNA
AUACUUACCUGGCAGGGGAGAUACUGUGAUUAAGAAUGAGGUUCACCCAGCCAUUGCACUCGGGCUGUGCUGACCCCUGUGAAAUCCCCAGAUGUGGGAAUCUCGACUAUAUAAUUUCUGGUAGUGGGGAAUUGCAUUUGCUCUCUCCCUU